CCUACGGGUGGCAGCAGUGGGGAAUAUUGCACAAUGGGGGAAACCCUGAUGCAGCGACGCCGCGUGGGUGACGAAGUAUUUCGGUAUGUAAAGCCCUAUCAGCAGGGAAGAAGAUGACAGUACCUGACCAAGAAGCCCCGGCUAACUACGUGCCAGCAGCCGCGGUAAUACGUAGGGGGCAAGCGUUAUCCGGAUUUACUGGGGGUAAAGGGAGCGUAGGUGGCAUGGCAAGCCAGAAGUGAAAACCCGGGGCUUAACCCCGCGGAUUGCUUUUGGAACUGUCAGGCUGGAGUGCAGGAGGGGCAGGCGGAAUUCCUGGUGUAGCGGUGAAAUGCGUAGAUAUCAGGAGGAACACCGGUGGCGAAGGCGGCCUGCUGGACUGUAACUGACACUGAGGCUCGAAAGCGUGGGGAGCAAACAGGAUUAGAUACCCUUGUAGUC
rnacentral:rRNA from 1 species